rnacentral:misc_RNA from 1 species
AUUCUACUUUGCAUUACCGGCAAUGCCUAAAAGAAGCGAAAAAAAUUCGAAGGCAUUAUAACGCUAUGCCCUCUAAAACACGUUAUCAUUAAAAGCGACUACCGAUUUUUUGCUGGGAAUCCUUAAACUUUGGGAGAUAAGUACAUGCGGCACAAAUAGCCCUGCCAGAUAGAGCACGUUACGUGCGUUCCGCUCAAGGAUGAAACUGACAGUUGAGUAGACUGUGUGUGCUUGCAUAGAGAGCGCCAGAUUGGCAACCCUUGCGUUGACGGAACCCACGAACGUUGGCCAACACAACUUUUGACGCAAAAGCGGCGCAAAUUCACCCUUGCUUAUAUGAUAAAAGCAUAGGGGCUUAUAGAAACCGGUUGGCGAAAGAAAAAGCCUGGAAUUAUGUGGCGGGCGCUACAGGUUGCAGUGGAAAGUGGUGAUUGAAUAAUCUUGUGAGUGUUUUCCAAUGUUUUUAAAAAUUAAUCCGCAGUGGAACAGCGUCAGAGUCGGUGGACCGAUUUGUGAAGGAAGAAAGUGGAAGAAAGGCGCCUUCUGCGAGUGCUGCAAACGACAUGGUCAGUAAUGGAUGGAAAUAUUACGAGGCACUGGCAUUCCUGCAACGGCACGUGUCACCACGCAAGUAAUUUAUGCAACCAUUGCUAUCAUUGAAUCCACUGUAGUCAGAUCUUUCGUGAAAUCUUCAAAAAGCUAUCACUGAAUUCGGAUACAUAUGUAUGUACAUACUUACAUAGCUACGAACGUAGCAUAUACUUUGAAAGCAUACGUUCCAAGGAAUUGAUAUUCAGUGAUUACAUUUUCGUAGUUUCACAAAAAUCGGACUGCGAUGGUUACAGUGAUAGUCCCGAAUACCUAAUAGAGUAUAACGGAGUUACACCGCAUGAUCGCCUUAAGUAAUAGACAUAUUUUGGAAUUUUAAAAAUUUUUUAGAAACAAAAUUUAAUUCCAGCUGUCGCUAACUGUGUUGUAACACCUUAAAUAGUCUUCAUGUGACUACAAGGUUUUGUUUGUACAUAUAUUAUUUAAGGACAUUUGGCAACGCAACGUUUGGUACCACCAUAGAUCGUGAAAAAUGCGCACCGCAGCCAGAGCAUUCCAUUAAUGUAUAUGAGUUGCAACCUCUUUUCGAAUAUUGCGAGGAUGAAGAGCCCGUAUUUGAGCAGACGCAGCAGACAGGGCUAACUACAGUGGUUCACCAAUCACCGUCAACGUCUCUUGUUGACUUCCAACCCUAAAAAGAGCCAAUUGUGUCCACUUCUAGAGCAUUGAAUCGGAAAAAAGAUGAGGAGCGAUUGGACACCCUAUGUGGAGCCGUAAGCGACUGGAUAAAAAAAAUCAGAUGCUGCUCCACAACCAGUUAGCCGUAACUCCGAUUUUUUAAAUGUUCUGGACAAAUAUCUUCUGAAAUAUGAAGAAGAUGUUCAAGACAGAAUGAAAAUUGGAAUACUGAAUUUUGUUUUUAAUGGCGGGCAAUUUGUUGUCAUGUAAAAACCGUAUUUUACUUUUAUUUCUAUUAAUUUAUUUAAUCAUUUUAAUUGAAUUUGUUUUUAAUGGAAUACAAUUUGUUGUCUUUAUUUCAUUUUUUAUUUUAAUUCUUUUUUUACAUAAACUGAAUAGAAAGUACAAAAUGAAUGUUAUGAAAUGAACUGAUGUAAAAAUUCAAAAUAAUUUAUUGUUAUACGUUUUGUAUAUACAGUGG